CCUAGUAACGGCGAGUGAGCGGCACAGCUCAAAUUUGAAAGCUAGCCUUCGGGUUCGCAUUGUAAUUUGUAGAGGAUGCUUUGGGGUGGCCGCCUGUCUAAGUUCCUUGGAACAGGACGUCAUAGAGGGUGAGAAUCCCGUAUGUGACAGGAAAUGGCGCCCUAUGUAAAGCUCCUUCGACGAGUCGAGUUGUUUGGGAAUGCAGCUCUAAAUGGGAGGUAAAUUUCUUCUAAAGCUAAAUACCGGCGAGAGACCGAUAGCGCACAAGUAGAGUGAUCGAAAGAUGAAAAGCACUUUGGAAAGAGAGUUAAAAAGCACGUGAAAUUGUUGAAAGGGAAGCGCUUGCAAUCAGACUUGUCUUUAACCGUUCGGCCGGUCUUCUGACCGGUUUACUCGGUAAUCGACAGGCCAGCAUCAGUUUCGGCGGUCGGAUAAAGGCCUUGGGAAUGUGGCUCUGCCUUCGGGUAGAGUGUUAUAGCCCAGGGUGUAAUACGGCCAGCCGGGACUGAGGUCCGCGAU
rnacentral:rRNA from 1 species